rnacentral:rRNA from 1 species
AGUAAUCCGAGACACGAAUAGCUUGGAUGAAGCUACCGGAACUAACCGGUAAGGCUAAAUACGUGUAGAGAUCGAUAGUGAACUAGUACCGUGAGGGAAAGGUGAAAAGAACCCCGAUAAGGGGAGUGAAAUAGAUCUGAAACCAUACAUCUACAAAGAGUCGAAGAGGUCCUAGACCUCGACGGCGUGCCUAUUGAAGAAUGAGCCUGCGAGUGUAUGCAUGUGGCGCAUGACUAAGGGGUCAACCCCCGGAGUCGUAGGGAAACCGAGCGUUAAAAGCGCGAUAGUCGUAUGCAUAUGACCCGAAGCGAGGUGAGCUUGCCAUGAGCAGGGUGAACGUGGACGAAAGUCCACGGGAGGCCCGAACCCGUUGGUCGUUUAACGCCUUGGGAUGACUUGUGGUAAGGAGUGAAAAGCUAAUCGAACUUCGUGAUAGCUGGUUCUCUCCGAAACAGCUUUUGGGCUGGCGUCUCGUAUUAACCCUCGGGGGUAGAGCACUGGAAGAGGUGAACAGGGAGCAAUCUCGUCACUUCUAUCAAACUCCGAAUACCGAGUAGUACGACGAGGCAGUUAGACCAUGGGGGCGAAGCUCCAUUGGUCGAGAAGGGAAGAGCCUAGAUCUCAAGUUAAGGUCCCUAAAUCUAUGCUAAGUGCAUCUUAAGGAGGUGGAAAUUCUAUGACAGUGAGGAGGUUGGCUUAGAAGCAGCCACCCUUCAAAGAAAGCGUAACAGCUCACUCAUCGAGAAUUUCUGCGCCGAAGAUAAUCGGGGCUAAGCAUAGUACCGACACUGAGGACUCGUGACCGCUCCGGCGGACACGAUUGGUAGGAGAGCGUUCCAAUCCGCGAUGAAGGUAAAGGGGUGACCCAUACUGGAGCGUUUGGAAGUGAGAAUGCAGGCACAAGUAACCGCAAUGCGGGUGAGAACCCCGCACGUCGAAAGAUCAAGGUUUCCGCGGCACUGUCGAUCAACCGCGGGUUAGUCGGGCCUAAGGGGAUGGCGAAAGCCGCACCCGAUGGACACAUGGUUACUAUUCCAUGACUCGACAUGAUGGCGAAGGAGCAACGGAGUGUAGUACACACUGCGCAUUACUGGAUUUGCGUCCAGGUCGUGAGGAGGUAGGCUAGGAAAAUCCGGCCUACGCAUUCUCCAAGCGACACGGCAAUUUUCUGGGCAACCAGAGGAGAGAGUGUGGAGCACGCUUCCGAGAAAAACUUCUACGCUUAACAUCAUGUCAUCCGUACCGCAAACCAACACAGGUGAUCAGGGCGAGUAGCCCAAGACGAACGAGUGAGAGGUCCUCAAGGAACUCGGCAAAAAAGCGGCCGUAACUUCGGGAUAAGGCCUGCCCCGCCUUCAAGGCGGGGCCGCAGCGAAAGUUUCUCUGGCAACUGUUUACCAAAAACACAGCUCCCUGCGAACUCGCAAGAGGAUGUAUAGGGGGUGACGCCUGACCAAUGCCAGAAGGUCAAAUGUGGGGGGUAUGCGCCGCAAGGUGCAUGCUGAUCUACAUAAGCCCUGGUGAAUGUCGGCGAUAACUAUAAUCGUCCUAAGGUAGCGUAAUUCCUUGUCUGGUAGGUGAACUGCCAGUGCUCUCGGUGACGAGGGUAACAAAUCCGGCUCAUAACGGUGGAGCCCUCAUUCGAAAUGAAUGAGGGUAAUACCGUGGGAAGUCGUCCUAAGUGUAAUUAUGAAGGAUUGACCCCGUAUCGACUGUAGUCCCCACUAGUUAGUGGUGACUACGAUGGAGGUGCUGUACCCUAUAGGUAUGAGACACCUCCAUAACACGCCGGCUCUGAAAAACAGAAGCGUUGCAGAGUAUAUUUCUGGUUUUGCAGACGGUGAAGGAUGCUUUUCAGUAUCAUUCACCAAACGCCCACGAUUCCUCGUUGGGUGGGAGACAAAACCAAGUUUUUCGGUGAGUCAAAAUCGUAAUCGCGCACAACAGCUCUUCAUUAUGCAAAAGUAUUUUGGAUGCGGCUUUAUGCGCGACGGAAUAGUCGACAACACUAUCAAAUAUGAAGUGCGUCGACUCGAUGACUUACUUGAAAAAGUAAUUCCUCACUUUGAACGGUACCCACUGCUUUCAAGCAAGCAACGUGACGUCAAAGCAUUGAAAGAGGUGUGUCUCAUUAUGAAAAAGAAUGAACACAUCACUACUCAAGGAUUACGGAAGAUACUUCCUAUCGCAUUCAGUAUGAAUGGAAGCGGUAAACGGAAGUAUUCACAGAAAGACAUUCUGUCGUUUAUGAAAAUUCAGAUGAAGGUAUAGUCAGUGCCCUUGGUAACAAGGGAAGCGUCUGUGGAGGUUUGCACGCUCCACACUAAAGACACAUGAAGUUCAGACGUGCACGAAUGGCGUAAUGACUGGAGAACUGUCUCGAGGACUUGCUCGGUGAAAAUACAAUACCGGUGAAGAUGCCGGUUACCCGUGGUUAGACGAAAAGACCCCAGAAGCUUUACUGUAGCUUCAUAUUGGGGCUGCGGAGUGUAUGCGUAGCAUAGGUGGGAGAGGUUGAAGUAUUCCUUUCGGGGAAUAUG